UACAGAGGUCCCAAGCGUUGUUCGGAUUCACUGGGCGUAAAGGGUGCGUAGGUGGCAUGGUAAGUUUGAUGUGAAAGCUCAGGGCUUAACCCUGAAAUGGCAUUGAAUACUACUGUGCUGGAGGUUUGGAGGGGGGACUGGAAUUCUUGGUGUAGCAGUGAAAUGCGUAGAUAUCAAGAGGAACACCAGUGGCGAAGGCGAGUCCCUGGACAACACCUGACACUGAGGCACGAAAGCCGGGGGAGCAAACAGG
rnacentral:rRNA from 1 species